rnacentral:misc_RNA from 1 species
GAUGAAGAACGCAGCGAAAUGCGAUACGUAGUGUGAAUUGCAGAAUUCAGUGAAUCAUCGAAUCUUUGAACGCACAUUGCACCUCUCGGUAUUCCGGGAGGUAUGCCUGUUCGAGCGUCAUUUGUACCCUCAAGCUCUGCUUGGUGUUGGGUGUUUGUUCCGCCUCUGUGUGUGAACUCGCCUCAAAACAAUUGGCAGCCGGCGUACUUGUUUCGGAGCGCAGCACAUUUUGCGAUCCAGCCCAACGUACAGCGGCAUCCAAGAAGCCUUAUUUAACGCUCUUGACCUCGGAUCAGGUAGGGAUACCCGCUGAACUUAAGCAUAUCAAUAAGCGGAGGA